GGUGUGGUGUGCAGACGACCCCAGACCAUUUUUGAUAUUUAUGCGUUAGAGGUGGUGUCGCUGCUAUCAACGCGCUUGGCAGACUCGGCACCUCGGAGACAAAAUCCCUGGGUGGGCUUUGGUCCUACCCACCCUGGCCCCUACCACGAGCACUGCGUGGGCAAGGAGGCCCUCGCUGGACAUGUCUGCGCAGCUUUGCACUACACCUGAGAAGAACCAUCACCACCAAUGGAAAUGUCACUGGCAAUCUCAUCAGAACAGUUGAAAAAUAAAUGGGCAGGCAACAGAAGCAAUCUCUUUCCACCUGGGAGAAGUGUACACUUUACUGUUGAGGCUUUUCCUGAUCUAUAGAACUUCAUUUUCCAGAGUCAUUAACCACAACUUUUACACUUUGUCCAAAAACAGUUAAAUGGCUAUUAAAAAGAAACGCACAUCGUUUUUUAAUAUUUUCAGUUACAUACCUUAAAGAGUGUACCAAGUUGCAGGCUGAUUAAAAAGCAUUCUGGCUUCCAUGGUAUCAUUCUUUUUGACUGACUGUUCACAUUACCCUGAUAUACAAAUGUACUUUGAAAAUCACACAUAUGAGACUUUCUUUCUUUUUUAUUCCUUUUUGCCUGCCUCUUCAUACUUGUCUUUUAUAUUCAAUGCUGACCUACUUUCUCUGUGUCUUCUUUUACAUUCGUUCCUUUAGAUGUGACUUUGCUUCUCAAAAGGUAUUCCUAAACUCCUUUGACCUCUUGUUACGAUAUCUUUUCUAGUUUCUUUUUGGAUUUCUUAACAUUCUGCAGCCUUUUCUUUUUGAUCACUGGCCAACACCAAAGGAUUUCAGGCACUGAGGAACUCCUUAAUGAGGAGUUUUGAAGCAUCCUCUCUGAAGCUUAUUCUGUACAACCCACUGAAGUUACAACUGCUCUGUGGCUGAAAAUGCUUUGAGAGAAAAAUCAUCCCAGAAAAGCUCAAGGGUCUGACCCAAAGCCUACUGACAUCAGUGGACUCCCAUUGACUUUGCUGAGAUCUGGAGCUGGAACUGUGUAUUUCAUUUAAUUAACUUUCUUGCAUCCUUUGUAUCAAAAGAAGAAAAAAGAAAAGAGUUCAGUAAACAGGAGUCUUCCUGUAUGAGUAUACUUCUGAUUAAGGCUUAACCAGGUUCAGAAAAUGUCGCCAGCCCACACAUGCUUAGCCACUGAACUCUCUAGUGAGAGAAAAGGUCCUGUAAUGAUGCAAAGCUGUAAAGGGUAAAUAGUUAAAAUAGUACAUUAUGAGAUUCGGUGUAUAAUAUGAGACCCGUGUCAGCAUCUUUACAGGAAACUUUCUGAACAUGGGCAGAGAGUGUCUGUACAAUGCAGGAGUAAUCUAGCCCCCCCAGGAAGGUCUGCAAUUGCAGAGCUCCUUGCUGCAACAAGUGAGGAGAGCCUGUACAGCACAGUUCCACUUUCUGCAGUUAAGACAGGAAAUGAAUGGUCACUCAGUGAAGAGAAGGGGAAAAAAUGAAGGCAAUCCCCUGGGAAAUGAUGAACAGAACAGACCUUUUGACCUGCGUAAUUGCCAACAUACGAGACUUGCAUAUUGGAUCAAUUGCCUGGACAAAGGCAAACGGUGUCUCAGUUGUAUGACUGCUGGGAAAACUGCGGAACAAAUGCGCCAGGGGAGCUGCACGGGGUCAGGCGUGGCAGGGAGGGCACUUGGUUUCCAGGUAGGAAGUACCUGAGUUUCACAUGGACAGAUUUCAGACUCGAUGGGAUUUGAUUCAGACCUGAGGUAGACAGUGGUAGAGACUAGAGUCUUUUCAUAAAAUCUGAACGGGACUUUCAUCCUUGAUAGUUAGGUUGUGUGAUAUUGGAUGCGUUAAAAAUACAGACUGAAAUCCUGUCAAUCUUUGCCAUUCACUUCAGUGCAGCUGGGAUUUUAUUCAAGGCAGAAUAUAGAAUUAUUUGUGUAAAAAAAAAAAGCAAUGAAACCAUUAUAUUUUCUCCUGCUGUCUUUUAAGUUGAUCUGUACAUCUGUAAAAUAAAAAAAUAAAACCAUGCAGCUUGAUUCUGCUUUUACUGAA